rnacentral:rRNA from 1 species
AGGGUGCGUAGGCGGACGCUUAAGUCAGCGGUAAAAUUGCGGGGCUCAACCUCGUCGAGCCGUUGAAACUGGGUGCCUUGAGUGGGCGAGAAGUACGCGGAAUGCGUGGUGUAGCGGUGAAAUGCAUAGAUAUCACGCAGAACCCCGAUUGCGAAGGCAGCAUACCGGCGCCCUACUGACGCUGAGGCACGAAAGUGCGGGGAUCAAACAGGAUUAGAUACCCUGGUAGUCCGCACAGUAAACGAUGAAUGCUAGCUGUCCGGGGGGAUUGACCCCUGGGUGGCACAGCGAAAGCGUUAAGCAUUCCACCUGGGGAGUACGCCGGCAACGGUGAAACUCAAAGGAAUUGACGGGGGCCCGCACAAGCGGAGGAACAUGUGGUUUAAUUCGAUGAUACGCGAGGAACCUUACCCGGGCUCAAACGCCGAAGGAACAUUCCCCGAAAGGGGAAUGGCCAGCAAUGGUCUUCGGCGAGGUGCUGCAUGGUUGUCGUCAGCUCGUGCCGUGAGGUGUCGGCUUAAGUGCCAUAACGAGCGCAACCCCCACCGACAGUUGCUAACUGGUCAAGCAGAGGACUCUGUCGGGACUGCCGGCGCAAGCUGCGAGGAAGGCGGGGAUGACGUCAAAUCAGCACGGCCCUUACGUCCGGGGCGACACACGUGUUACAAUGGCAGGUACAGCGGGAUGCCAUGGGGCGACCCAGAGCGGAACCCGAAAACCUGUCUCAGUUCGGAUUGGAGUCUGCAACCCGACUCCAUGAAGCUGGAUUCGCUAGUAAUCGCGCAUCAGCCACGGCGCGGUGAAUACGUUCCCGGGCCUUGUACACACCGCCCGUCAAGCCAUGGGAGCCGGGGGUGCCUGAAGGCCGUGACCGCGAGGAGCGGCCUAGGGUAAAACUGGUGACUGGGGCUAAGUCGUAACAAGGUAACCGUAA